GCGAGAGAAUGCGGCCACAAAGGGACAGGGAACUGUCCACAUGGGUCCCACAGGCCAAGAGUGAAUUAUUUAAGCUGUUCCUGGUGUUUAAAGAGGUUUUUCAGUUUUUAAAGAAUGUUGUAAAAAAAUAUCAGGCCUUGUUAACUCCCUCAUUACAUGCUUUUUUCCCCUUCAGCUGAACAAGCCCGGUUUCCUGAGACGGAGGAGCUUUGAAUUAGAACACGAAUGCAUUCAGCAACUACAGUUUCUGUUUUAGAAGGAACAGCAACAUUCACAGGGAAUGCAUGUGCCCUACAGCAAAAAAUAUCUCUU